UACGUAGGGCGCAAGCGUUGUCCGGAAUUAUUGGGCGUAAAGAGCUCGUAGGCGGCCUGUUGCGUCCGCUGUGAAAUCCCGGGGCUCAACCCCGGGCCUGCAGUGGAUACGGGCUGGCUAGAGGCAGGCAGGGGAGAACGGAAUUCCUGGUGUAGCGGUGAAAUGCGCAGAUAUCAGGAGGAACACCGGUGGCGAAGGCGGGUCUCUGGGCAGUAACUGACGCUGAGGAGCGAAAGCGUGGGGAGCGAACAGG
rnacentral:rRNA from 1 species